UCUCUGCUGCGAAAGAGAAUGCGGACCAGUUUUCUUCUCCUCCGAAAACUCGGACACCUUCUUCCCAGUCUUUCUAUCUUCUUGACGCUCAGCCACCUUCUUCCCAGAUUUCUUCUCCUCCAGAAGCUCAGCCACCUUCUUCCCUAUCUCCUUCUUCUCCAGUGAUUCAGUCACCCUCUUCUCAGCCACCUUCUCAUUGCGUUUCUGCAGCGCGCGGA
rnacentral:lncRNA from 1 species